UAUCAUUUGUAAAGUUUUGAAAUGAAGUUGUGUGGUAUCUACAUUUUUUUCCUUAAGUAAUUUUUUUUUCUUUAUUCUUUCUUCUUUGUGGUAUUCUGUUAACUUAAAAAAGCACACUUUGUAUAGUUUGCUGUAAUUAACUUAUCCUGAUAAAGUCAGCAGGAUAGCAGUGGUUUACUGCUAGAGUCAGGUGGAAGGAAAGUGAGACUUCAAAGAGCAUUUUUGAGAAGAGUAAGGAAAAAGCAUAAGCUGCCUGAAUUAGACC